GUCAGGGACUCCUAGUUGAGAGCAAACCUCCCGAAUUUAUUCGUGGGGUUGCAGUUAACGCGACCUGACCAGAUAGCAGCCAAUAAACGGGCUACGUUUAAAGGAAGUGCUAAAAGUCCCACCUACAAAUGCUUGCCAGUUUGUAGCUCUGGA
rnacentral:sRNA from 19 species